rnacentral:lncRNA from 1 species
AUCUCCAUUCUAGGAGACUUAAACGGAGAAGUGAGACUAGUGCAAGAAACUUUCCUGGCGAUAAACUUUGUGAUUACAUUAUCUGCAAAAUAUUGAAGUUCUUAAAAAUUCCCUCUUUCUUUAAAUCUGAAUAUUUUCAGAUGGUUUCUCACCAUUAAGUAUAAACUAUGAGCAAGCGGGGGUCAGGAUUAAUAGCCUAAGGUGAAAAUCUAUUUAUAAACUGUUUAAUGAACAAAAUUAAAACAUUGGUGAUUUUUAAGGGUUACCCUGUCCUCUACUGUCAACUACGGGAGUAGACCAAAGCUACAGGAGUAGCUAACAGGAGCAGGAGUACUUUCUACAAACUUAGCUACAGGAGUAGCUAAUAGGAGUACCCUCUACAACAGCUACAGGAGUAGCUAAUAGGAGUAACAGGAGCAGGAGUACUUUCUACAAACUUAGCUACAGGAGUAGCUAAUAGGAGUACCCUCUACAACAGCUACAGGAGUAGCUAAUAGGAGUAUCCUCUACAACAGCUAUAGGAGUAGCUAUCUGGAGUUAGUAUUUCUUACAACACAGCUACAGGAGUAGUUCUACAACCACAGCUACAGGAGUAGCUACCAGGAGGAGUUAAACUGAUGGAAAAAUCAAGACGACCUGGAAAAUACUAGUGUCAUGCAUUUUCAUGAUCAUAAAAUGAUCCAGUCUUAAAGCAAAAAUUAUCAAGAUUUGAUCUCAACCUACCAUCAGAG